GCUGGAUAACUAAUAAAUAAAUUAAUCAAUCUGAGAUAUGAUGGCAUGAUGAUGUUAGGUUUACAUUAUAAAACUAGAGAGUAUUGCACCUAAGCUUAAUAUUUUUUUAGAUCCCUAUCCCUAAUGCUUUUCUUGGUCAUUAAGCUCUUAGUCUUCUUUUUGCGCAAUAUAGUCAUCCUCAAACCACAAAUAAUGCAUAAAGGGAUAAAUAAAAUGUGAACAAAUUUAUUUCUUUUUUGUUCAAGAGUUUUAAUAUUUUAGG
rnacentral:lncRNA from 1 species